GACGAACGCUGGCGGCGUGCUUAACACAUGCAAGUCGAACGCUGAAGCUCAGCUUUUGUUGGGUGGAUGAGUGGCGAACGGGUGAGUAACACGUGAGUAACCUGCCUCCUUCUUUGGGAUAACGCCCGGAAACGGGUGCUAAUACUGGAUAUUCACUGGUCUUCGCAUGGGGGUUGGUGGAAAGGGUUUUUCUGGUGGGGGAUGGGCUCGCGGCCUAUCAGCUUGUUGGUGGGGUGAUGGCCUACCAAGGCUUUGACGGGUAGCCGGCCUGAGAGGGUGACCGGGAACAUUGGGGCGGAGAUACGGACCAGACUACGACGGGGGGCAGCAGGGGGGAAUAUUGCACAAUGGGCGCAAGCAUGAUGCAGCGACGCCGCGUGAGGGAUGGAGGGCUUCGGGUUGUGAACCUCUUUCGCUCAUGGUCAAGCCGCAACAAUGGUUGUGGUGAGGGUAGUGGGUAAAGAAGCGCCGGCUAACUACGUG
rnacentral:rRNA from 1 species